UUUGGUCUUAAUUUUGGAAUGUUGAGGGGAAUAUAGUCUUCUGAGUCACUAGGAGGUCUAAUGGCCACAGAAGUAAAGGCUCACAAAAUGGCCAGUGAUGGCCUGAAAGAGUGAAAACACCUAAUUUUAUGCUAGAAUUAGCUUUUAGCACCUGGAAGAAAUCUAUUUCAAUGAACAGCAUCUGCAUGUUGAGUUGUGUUUGAUAUUAUGUGGCCUGUAUGAAUAUUGAGAUUGGAGUAAAUUAAGGUAAAGAAUUAUGACUGCACAACUAGAAGGACCCUCAGAUACAACUCAUUACAAAUAACUAAUUUUUUAUAGCUAAGAAAACUAAGGAAACGGUAUGACUUACCUCAGAAGAGUUACUGAUAGAUUCUAGGACUACACCCCAGAAUCCUAUGCCUUUUUUUCUUCAUGAUUUUUCAUUCUGCCUUCAUUUUCCUACAUUCUAGGUAAUGUCACAGCAAACAAGACAAAGCUAGUUGGCAUAGAUCAUAGACAUUCUUGUUCUUAUGUUCAGCACUUCUAUUUCUAUUCCACCUUAGAUAGCUUUGAAGCUCAAGGAUGCUACUAGGGUUAUCAGUUGGUCUCUUGUCUGGUAGGUUAAAACUUGAUUUAAGGUGAGAAGAUUAAGUGCUUUGAUGAUGAACUUUUCAUAGCUAAAUAAAAUUAGGAGACUUGAGGAAAUGGGUUAGGACUCUGAAAAAUAUGGUCAGUUAUUUUUGUUAUAUUUGAGAACAUAAAAUUUUAGUAGUUUAAAUUUAUAAUGCAGUAUAAUAAACAUUCCAAAAAGUAGUUUACAUUUUAACUUUCAAAGACAAUAUAUCUAGUCUAUAUAAACAUGUGUAUUUAUACACACACAUUAUACACAUACAGAUGCUUAUAAAUGUAUAUAAAUAUGGGGAAGGAGGAAUGAAAGAGAAAGAGAGGAAGAGAGAGAGGGAUGGAGGGAGGAAGGAGAAAGCGGGGAGGAGGAAGAGAGAGAGGGAGGGAGGGAGAGAGAGGUCAGGAAGGCAGAGGGAGAGAGGGUUUGAAAUUCCAAGACAGGAUAAAUCCUUUGUUUCCUGUUCCGUAGUAGCUCUUCUAUUUAGAGUUCUAAUUAGGGGUAAUAUUCAAAAUUAUUGAACAAGCAAUGUGCAAAGUAAAGACCCAUCAGACUGACACUGCCUGUAAAACUGCUCAAUAAUUGACUUGGUUCUAAUGAGCAAAAUAAGGAACUGCCAGAGCAAUCCCCAGCCAGUAUCAAGGAAAACACAGAAAAAAGGGAAAGGCUAUACAAUUUUUCAUGCUCAGUUACGUACCUGUGUUUAUAUAGUACAUAAACAACCUCACAGACAUGAUCUCAUUUUCUCAAGAGUGUCCUAAUCUCUGCUAAUUCUUUUCACCUUUAGCCAUUUUAGAGUAAGUCAGGAGUAAUGACUAAAGACAAAAAAAAUAGCCAUUAUAAUUAUUAUCUAAGUCUGUGAUUCCUCUUACAGUUAUGUUGCUUGGGUGGUCCAUUACCUUUGUUUAUGGAAAUUUAGGUACAAUUAUUUGAGAUCUGUGUAGGAAGCACAUAAUAAGCAAGUUCAUCACCAUUAAUAACCAGCAAUUGGGCUAAUAUUGAUCCAUGGAAUACUUUAGUAGUUGUGGUAAAAAUAAUUAUGAUAUAUUUUCCUCAAAUAAAUCUUUUUUCUUUCAUGGUAUCUAAACACUUUCCCACAUAAAGAGUUAUACGAUCAUUUCAAAGCAGAUUUUAAAAUACCUAGAUAAGUAAUUAUAAACUCUGAUAUACAAUUCUUGAGUUCCCAUUGUGGCUCAGUGGGUUAAGAACCUAACUAGUAUCCAUGAGGAUGCAGGUUUGAUCCCUGGCCUCACUCAGUGGGUUAAGGAUCUGGUGCUACCACGAGCUGCAGCAUAGAUCACAGAUGCGGCUCAGAUCCAACACUGCUGUGGCUGUGGCAUUGGCUGGCAGCUGCAGCUCCAAUUUGACACCUAGUUUGUGAACUUCCAUCUGCGGCCCUAAAAAAAAAGAAAAAUAAAAUAAAAUUCUCUCACAUUUGUCCAACUCUCAGUUUUACAGUACUUUCUGAAGGUGGGCACUACAAAUAACAUACAGUUAUUUCAGAAAAGUCCCACGAUAAAAUGUUCAAAAUCAUAAGGUAAAUACAUGAAUCUACAGGCCAAAAAAUGCUUUUCCAAACCUCGAUUAAGUAUCAUGGUGACUGGGGACUAAGAAUGUGACCCCACUGUCAUCCUGACUUACUUCCCUGGUUCUAAGUUCCCUUCUUUCUCAAAGAAUAAAGAUGUAAGAGCAGGUCAUCGCUAAGUGCCUUCUAGGUGCAAUAAUCUGUGGAUAUCUCUUUUACCAAACAUUUUUCUAAAACUUAAAAUAAUAAACUCUAAUCAUUUCAGGAAAAUGAGAAAAUACAGAGAAGCAGAAAGAAAAAAAAUUAAGGCUUGAAUAUUUUAUCACUAAAAGUUAACCGCUUUAAAGGUUGACACUCUUAGCAUUUUGGGAAAUAGUACUACGGCUUCCUCUGUCUUAUCCACAUAAAUUUUACAAAAUACAAAGUAAGAAUAAUACUAUUCAUCUAUCUUGUCAUCUCUUUUUUUAAAUAUAAUUUCUCAAGCAUAUCUUAGGCAGGGAGGUAUUGACAGUGUAUUUCUGUUUUGUCACUGUUCAAAGUUACAUACAGUUUCACAGAUGGAGUAAGCCUCUGAGGUAGGUGCUGUUAUCCUCUUUUGACUGAUAAGCACAUAGCACAGUGAAAUUCAGCUGAGGUCCAAGGUCAUAGAACUAAAAGAGUGGGGGAUAGAUUCCAGCCAGGAAACCUGGCUUACCUCCACACCAGCCUGUCCUACAUUUCAGUCACGAUCUGAGAUAUGGGAAGCGGGGAAGCCAUGCGAAGAGCUGGGGAAAAAGGAACAGCAAGUGCGAAAGCCUUGCAGAACCAUAGUGUAUGAGGGGAAAGAGGUAAUGAGGGUCAGUGGAAUUAACAUGGGACACGUCACCCUUGAUUCCCAAUAGGAAAGUGGAAUUGAUCAGAGUUGUCCACUGUUCACUUUUUAUGACUCACUAUAACCUUUGAGGCUGGAAAUGAUCAGUCUUGAAGUGCUUAGUUAAAAACUCCAAAAAAAGAACCUGAGUAUCAAGGACCUCCAGUUCUUUAAGCCACAUCUGCACCUCGUAAAGGAAAUGAUCAGCCAUGGCAAUUAGCCCAGUUCAGGCCAUAUGCCCCACGGCCUUGAUUUAUUCACAUUUUGGAGGCAGAAGGAGGAUAUGUAAGUUUGAGUGAGCUUCAAUUAUCAAGAUGACUGUACAAAUUCUAUAGUCACCUUGUACUUAUCAGUCGAAUAUACAGUCACUACAUACCAGAUCGUACGGAAUGAUAAUUUCACUGAUCUUUACUCUCAUAGCGUACACUUUAACGAGAAGAAUGUCAUCUUAUUAUUUUGCAAUCUCCUCUUGAUUUAUAUUUCCCCCUUUCUCUUACCUCCAGACAAGAGCUAAUUAAAUAAUCUAUUUUGUGCUUAGUAAUACAGUUCAAGUACCCAUUUUAUGUACUCCAGCCUAAAUGGGAAAGACAUAUUAUAAAUAUUCACCAUACAGCGCUCAUGGAAAUUACAAAUGAAUGGACAUUAAUUGCUGAAGAAUGAGAUCCUUAGUCUGCUAAUUUUGUGAUAAAAUAGUCUAAUAAAAAGCAUUUGUCAUUUCUAUGAAGAUAUACUAGGCAAGUCAAGAUAAAUCUAAAAGCCAAGCAAAAGGCAGAGUGGUGGCCAACUUGAGGUGCAGAGGAUGACUCUGGACUUCCAAUGUUCCUGAAUUUUUGUUCCUCCUCUCUGAAGCAGCAACUCUGUGCAAUGUUUCUCCCGGGCUGUGUCUUAGGGCAUCAAAGUCAAUAUUCGAUUAUAUGUGUUCCUUGAUAUACCACUACUAAACAGAAAUUUUGGCAUAAGUGUAUUAUGGGCAGAGGCCAGAAGGGCUGUAUUUUUCAAUGAUUCCAUACAAAAUGCCAUUGGAACACAUAUCUUUAAAAACCUCUUUAUCCUUAGGUCAGGAGAAAUAGCAAUGAUAGCUUCUGACAGAAUUGAUCCCUGGCCUUACUCUCUAAACUGAUGAGAGGAGGCCAAAGGGGCUGUAUUUUUAAAUAAUUCCAUACAAAAUGCCAUAGGAACACAUAUCUUUUAAAAAGCUUCUUUAUUCUUGGGUCUGGAGAAAUAGCAAUCAUAGCUUCUGACAGAAUUGAUCCCUGACCUACCUUUCUUUUUACACUAAUGAGAUUUUUCAGGUUUAUUUAAUGUAAUUCAGCUUAAUGCAACACAUUCAUUUAACAUUUGCCAUGUGGCAAGCACUGUCCUGGGCCCCUGCACAAAGCCAGAUGAAAACUGUGGUCUGUGCAUCACAAAGGGCAGCUUCAGUGAGGUGGGGGAAGGCAGGUUGACAAGCAAAUACGACUAUACCAGAUGAAUAUUACAAUAGAAAGAUGGACCAAGAAGUGUAAAACAAACAAUUCUUUCUGUUGUCAAGGCAUGAGUCAUGCUUUUGGCUUUCUAAAUAAUGAUUAGAAGAAUAUACUGGAUUUUUUUCCCUUGCAAAUCUGUCCAGUAAAACCAUAUCAGUAAAUGGUAUUCCAGCCACCCGGCUGCUGUGACAGAAAUCUAUGUGUCAUCCUUGAUCUUCCACCACCUCCUACAUCCAAUGCAUCAGCAAGUUCUGGCAGCUCUACCUACAGAUAAGAUCCUGAAUCCACCCCCUUCUCUCCUCUCCCUCACUACCCUCACUUCUCUCCUCUUCCUCACUACCUGAUAGUUCAAGCUGCUAUCAUUUCCAAACUGAAUUACUGCCACUGUUUUUACCUGGACUUCAAGUUUCAACCGUCACUUUUUUAAAAGCCUAUUUUUCUACAUAAUAGCUAAGCAAUAUUUUCAAAAAACAGAACUAAAUAGACAUUUUUCCAAGAAAGACUUACAGAUGGCCAACAGGCACAUGAAAAAAAAAAUGCUCAACAUCACUAAUUAUUAGAGAAAUGCAAAUCAAAACUAUAAUGAGGUACUACCUCAUACCAGCCAUCAUUAGUAAGCUUAUAAGUUACGAAUGGGUGUGGAGAAAAGGGAGCCCUCCUAUACUGUUGGUGGGAAUGCGAAUUGGUAUAACCACUAUGGAAAACAGUAUGGAGGAACAUCAGCAAACUAAAUAUAGAACUAGCAAAGAUCCAGCACUCCCACUCCUGGGCGUAUAUCCAGAUAAAACUUUCAAUGAAAAUGAUACAUUCACCCCUACGUUCACUGCAGCACUAUUCACAAUAGCCAAGACAUAGAAACUACCUAAAUGUCCAUUGACAGUUGAACUGAUUAAGAAGAUGUGGUACAUAUAUACAAUGGAAUACUACUCAGCCAUAAAAAAGACAAACUAAUGCCCUUUGCAGCAACAUGGAUGGAAUUAGAUAUUCUCAUACUAAGUGAAGUAAGCCAGAAGGAAAAAGACAAAAACCAUAUGAUAUCACUUAUAUCUGUAAUCUAAUAUAUGAAACAAAUGAACGUAUUCCACAAAAUAGAAACAGAUAACGGCCAAGGAACGCAGACUUUGGUUUCCCAGGGGGGAGGGAGGAGGGAGUGGGAUGGAUGGGGAGUUGGGGGUUUUUGGAUGUAAACUGUUACAUUUGGAAUGGAUGGGCAAUGGGGCCAGACUGUACAGCAUAAGGAACUGUAUGUGAUUGGGUCAUUUUGCUCUACAACAGAAAUUGAAGAAACAUUGUAAAUCAACUCCACUUAAAAACAAAAAAACAAAAAACAGCUCUCUUACAUAAAAAAACUCUAAUGGCUUCUCACUACACUGGAAAUAAAAUUCAGACUCUAACCUCAACUCAAACCACCCUUUAUUAUGGUCACUAUGCUCCAAUAAGGCUCACAUUCCCUUUGUUCCCUGAAUGUGACAAGUGAAUUUUUUAUAGGCCUCAGGGUCUUUGCAUGGCAUGUGAAGUUCAAUCAGCCUGAAACACUCCUCCCUUUGAUCUUCACAAGACAGUUGUCUUAUCAUUCAGGUUUCAGCUCCUGUCACCUCUGAAGAAAGGCUUUCCUUAACAACCCUGUCCAAAGUUGAGAUUCUACCGCAUGGAUCCUCUGUUUAUCACACAGGUUUAUUUAUUAUUAUCUAAAAUAACUGGAUUUGGGGUUCUGUUUACCUUUGUUUAUGCUGACCUGUAUCCUUUGCAUAAUGUAGGUGCCAUGAGAUAAGGACCUUAUUGUUUCUCUUCACUGGCACCCAGAGUAGUGACUAUUACAUAGCAACUACUAAAUAAAAAUAUGUUAAAUGCACAAAUAAAUGAAUGAAUGAUUGAAAUCUAAUUAUCUGCUCAAAAAUUCCACAGUUUGGUCUAUGUUGUAAGUAUGCUCAGACUUUCUUUGCAGAGCUGGUUUGAGAAAGCACUGGAUAGAGGAUAGUUGCAGGGAGAAGGUCAGACAGAGAUUAUUUCCUAGAGAAACUGAUAUAUUUGAAGAUCCUAGAAGGACCAGUGUAAGUUAGUCAAGGGUCUACAAGAAGAAAGAGCAUUUCAAGAAAGGGGAUCAGAAAACAUAUAAAGACUCAUGGUGGAAGAAAGGCACGGUGCUAUUAGAAUUUGGCAUAUAAACUGGUGAGAUGGUCUUGAAAAUCACACAAUGAAUUAUCAUACACUGUCAUGCCACCCAUCUAAGUAAUAAGGGUGAAAUUCACAUAUUUUCUUGAAGUACUCUCACAAGACUACAGAAAAUUAAAACUUCUAUCUCAAAUAAGCUUUGAUAUUCCUGCAUUUCUCUGUGGUUAGAACUAUGUCUCCAGUAUCAUAAAUCUGCAAGUUAUUUGUAUAAUUUAAGCCUUCUUUCUAGACACUGAAUAC
rnacentral:lncRNA from 1 species